rnacentral:rRNA from 1 species
UACAGAGGUUGCAAGCGUUGUUCGGAAUUACUGGGCGUAAAGCGCGUGUAGGCGGCUCUUCAAGUCAGGCGUGAAAGCCCCGGGCUCAACUCGGGAACUGCGCUUGAUACUGUCGAGCUAGAGUGUGGAAGGGGCGAUUGGAAUUCCGUGUGUAGCGGUGAAAUGCGUAGAUAUACGGAGGAACACCAGAGGCGAAGGCGGAUCGCUGGGCCGAUACUGACGCUGAGGAGCGAAAGCGUGGGGAGCGAACAGG